GAUGAACGCUAGCUACAGGCUUAACACAUGCAAGUCGAGGGGCAUCAGGAAGAAAGCUUGCUUUCUUUGCUGGCGACCGGCGCACGGGUGAGUAACACGUAUCCAACCUGCCCUUUACUCGGGGAUAGCCUUUCGAAAGAAAGAUUAAUACCCGAUAGCAUAAUGAUUCCGCAUGGUUUCAUUAUUAAAGGAUUCCGGUAAAGGAUGGGGAUGCGUUCCAUUAGGUUGUUGGUGAGGUAACGGCUCACCAAGCCUUCGAUGGAUAGGGGUUCUGAGAGGAAGGUCCCCCACAUUGGAACUGAGACACGGUCCAAACUCCUACGGGAGGCAGCAGUGAGGAAUAUUGGUCAAUGGGCGCUAGCCUGAACCAGCCAAGUAGCGUGAAGGAUGAAGGCUCUAUGGGUCGUAAACUUCUUUUAUAUAAGAAUAAAGUGCAGUAUGUAUACUGUUUUGUAUGUAUUAUAUGAAUAAGGAUCGGCUAACUCCGUGCCAGCAGCCGCGGUAAUACGGAGGAUCCGAGCGUUAUCCGGAUUUAUUGGGUUUAAAGGGAGCGUAGGUGGACUGGUAAGUCAGUUGUGAAAGUUUGCGGCUCAACCGUAAAAUUGCAGUUGAUACUGUCAGUCUUGAGUACAGUAGAGGUGGGCGGAAUUCGUGGUGUAGCGGUGAAAUGCUUAGAUAUCACGAAGAACUCCGAUUGCGAAGGCAGCUCACUGGACUGCAACUGACACUGAUGCUCGAAAGUGUGGGUAUCAAACAGGAUUAGAUACCCUGGUAGUCCACACAGUAAACGAUGAAUACUCGCUGUUUGCGAUAUACAGUAAGCGGCCAAGCGAAAGCAUUAAGUAUUCCACCUGGGGAGUACGCCGGCAACGGUGAAACUCAAAGGAAUUGACGGGGGCCCGCACAAGCGGAGGAACAUGUGGUUUAAUUCGAUGAUACGCGAGGAACCUUACCCGGGCUUAAAUUGCAGUGGAAUGAUGUGGAAGCAUGUCAGUGAGCAAUCACCGCUGUGAAGGUGCUGCAUGGUUGUCGUCAGCUCGUGCCGUGAGGUGUCGGCUUAAGUGCCAUAACGAGCGCAACCCUUAUCUUCAGUUACUAACAGGUCAUGCUGAGGACUCUGGAGAGACUGCCGUCGUAAGAUGUGAGGAAGGUGGGGAUGACGUCAAAUCAGCACGGCCCUUACGUCCGGGGCUACACACGUGUUACAAUGGGGGGUACAGAAGGCAGCUAGCGGGUGACCGUAUGCUAAUCCCAAAAUCCUCUCUCAGUUCGGAUCGAAGUCUGCAACCCGACUUCGUGAAGCUGGAUUCGCUAGUAAUCGCGCAUCAGCCACGGCGCGGUGAAUACGUUCCCGGGCCU
rnacentral:rRNA from 1 species